rnacentral:rRNA from 1 species
GUAGGUGGCAAGCGUUGUCCGGAAUUAUUGGGCGUAAAGCGCGCGCAGGCGGUUCUUUAAGUCUGAUGUGAAAGCCCACGGGCUCAACCGUGGAGGGUCAUUGGAAACUGGAGAACUUGAGUACAGAAGAGGAAAGCGGAAUUCCACGUGUAGCGGUGAAAUGCGUAGAGAUGUGGAGGAACACCAGUGGCGAAGGCGGCUUUCUUGUCUGUAACUGACGCUGAGGCGCGAAAGCGUGGGGAGCAAACAGGAUUAGAUACCCUGGUAGUCCACGCCGUAAACGAUGAGUGCUAAGUGUUAGGGGGUUUCCGCCCCUUAGUGCUGCAGCUAACGCAUUAAGCACUCCGCCUGGGGAGUACGGCCGCAAGGCUG